ensembl:snRNA U6 U6 spliceosomal RNA
AUCUUCCUCUUCAGUAGCAUGUAUACUAAAAUUGGAAUGAUAAGCAGGAGAUUAGCAUGUCCCCUACACCAGGACAACACGCAAGUUCUUGAGACAUUCCGUGUUUUA